UGAGCUCCACCUCUUCCGCUCAAAAAAAAAAAGAAAAAAAAAAGAAAAGAAAACCUCUUCGUUCUGCAGGCCGAUUCAUUCCUCCCCUCCCCUCCGGCCUCCCCCACCGCCGCCUCCGCCAACCACCGCCGGCCUCCGCCCUCGCCCUCGCCCCCACAGCUGGUGACCUCGUCUACCUCCCCUCUCCUCUCCCCUCCUCUCCUCUCCUUAUCAGAAGAGAAGAGAAGAGAAGAGAAAAGGGUGGUCGGGCGACCAUGCCAGAUGCGCCCACAACCGGCCGGCGACCACAGCACGUCAUCGUCAUCGUCAUCGUCGAAAACUCUUCUUCCACCUCCCUCCCAGAUUCAUGUGCUGCUCUCGGUAGGUGCACGCCAAACCCUAGCCGCAGCCCGCAGCGCUAGCUGUUGCUGUCAAAGUUUGCCCGGCACAAGCAGCUCCGCUACCAGGACACGGACGGACCGCUCAAAUCCAUGGAUUUCUUCGAUUCCGUUCAUGCUUGCCGGGGAAUGAAUUGAUUGGAUGCGAAAAUUGCAUUUUGCUGCAGGGGCAUGACGGAGUGAACCUCAUCGACUCGCCGCAUCUGGGAAGGUAUUAGGACGAGCAGCAGCAAAUCAGCCUGAUGAAGAAGCGCCUGACACCACACCGGGUGCAGGAGGCGAUGUUGAUUAAGCUGAUGGCACGAAGAAGGCUGUGACCACAACCUGGAUCUAUUGCUAUCGAUGGCAAACGGAGGCACCUCCCUCCCUCCCUUGUCUUUUACUAUUAUUUGUUGUUGUCAGCAAAUCAGUAAGCAGUGUGCUUGUGGAGUUGGGUUUGGACUGGAAUGUCCACCCAGCAGGUGCUGCUAGGACCCGAGGUUGAGUUAAGCUAGAUGUGUUGCUGUUCUUGCUGUUAUUGCAAGAUGAUGGCAUCCCAUAAUAAUCUGAUGUUGCUGUACUAAUUUCUUGAGUAGAUGUUAUAUCUGUUGUACCUUCAAUUGUUGUUGUUGUGGUUAAUACUAGAUAGAUUUAUCGUGUAGCUGCUGCACGUAGCCUCCAACUGUGGGUUGUUUAUUUCGCCCUGAGUUGUGCCGCGUCCUUCCGAAGGGGCAGUCCAAGGGCAUCAUCUUGAUGGUGACCUUGCGCGACUCUCCACCGAAGAGGGUGCCGAAGUUGACGGUGAUGACAUCGGUGGUGCUGUCCGUGGUCUGGGUGUAGCCAGUGUUGUCGGGCACCGCCAUUGCUUUCAGGCCGUCCUCUUUCUUGGGUGUGAGGAUGAGCUUCACCUUAUGCACGACCACGGUGAGAAGGCGCCGCUCAGUAUCUGAAAGAAUGGCUUGGUGACGUUUGCCCUGUCCUGCAUGCACACAUUCGUGAAAUAUAUCUCUUUCUUUUUACCUUUAGAGCUUGUUUGGAACUGCUCUACUUGCUAAAAUUCAGCUCUGUUUCAGAAAAGACAAGCCAAACGGGGUAGCUUCAUGAUAUGCCGCUUCGAAAAAACUAGAAUAUGGGCUACAACUUCAAAGUUUUUAUGAAGCUCUUCACAGGGUGCUUCAAAAAGUCUAGAAGCUGGAGUUGAAGGGAAAUUACGCAUCACUGCCAGCAGUAAGUGGAUACACCUUCAUUUCUUUUUCCUCAACCAAUCAAAUAGAUUGUUUUAAUCAAAUUUUCUGUUCUUGAAGCUAGAGCUAGAUGGAAGCCAAACAUUCUCUUGAUAGUGCUAUAGCUAUUGUAUGAAACUGCUUCAAAGUGAAUUUGAUAAAGUGAAGCUGAUUUUGAUGAA